GUUCCAAAUCCAUCGAAUAUGGUUUUAGACCACUAAAUUUGCAAUGCAGAAUAUACCAAAAAAAAAAGAAUUGUGAAGACUUGGAUUUGCAGUUAAGGCUACGACUGGCUAUCAAGAAUUCAGAACCACACAAUACUGAACCGAAACUUCUUGCAAAUAGCAAUGGUGAUGAAACAUUAACGCAAUACAAUCGUCACAUUGAUAUCUAUACUAAUAAAGUUGAAGAGAAAGUCUCCACAAUGUGCCACGUCAUUCUUCCUAUCCCUAUUUUGCGACACGUGUCGAGUAAAGAGACAACUUCUUCUUUCUGCUUUUGUUUCCAACUCGCGGAUCUUCUUCUUCUUCUCUUUUUAGUGUUUCUAACUCGCCGAUUAGCUUGAUUUUAUGAUAAUUUAUUGGGCUUUUAUGUCUAUUUAUUAGUCCAUACUUUAUGUUUAUAUUCAUUAUCAAUUUGUUUUAAAAAAUCCUCUCAUU
rnacentral:lncRNA from 1 species